UACGGAGGGGGCUAGCGUUGUUCGGAAUUACUGGGCGUAAAGCGCACGUAGGCGGCUUUGUAAGUUAGAGGUGAAAGCCCGGGGCUCAACUCCGGAAUUGCCUUUAAGACUGCAUCGCUAGAAUUGUGGAGAGGUAAGUGGAAUUCCGAGUGUAGAGGUGAAAUUCGUAGAUAUUCGGAAGAACACCAGUGGCGAAGGCGACUUACUGGACACAUAUUGACGCUGAGGUGCGAAAGCGUGGGGAGACAAGCAGU
rnacentral:rRNA from 1 species